rnacentral:rRNA from 1 species
GCAGCAGGCGCGCAAAUUACCCACUCCCGGCACGGGGAGGUAGUGACGAAAAAUAACGAUACGGGACUCAUCCGAGGCCCCGUAAUCGGAAUGAGUACACUCUAAACCCUUUAACGAGUAUCCAUUGGAGGGCAAGUCUGGUGCCAGCAGCCGCGGUAAUUCCAGCUCCAAUAGCGUAUAUUAAAGUUGUUGCGGUUAAAAAGCUCGUAGUUGGACUUGUGUCCCACGCUGUCGGUUCACCGUUNGUCGGUGUUUAACUGGCAUGCCCGUGCGGACGUCCUGCCGGUGGAUGCGGUCGGCCGUGGGCCUCUGGUCUGCGUGUCGGCGGUCCGAUGCAAUCCUACCGCGGUGCUCUUCACCGAGUGUCGAGGUGGGCCGGCACGUUUACUUUGAACAAAUUAGAGUGCUCAAAGCAGGCAGUGGUUCGCCUGAAUAUUGUGUGCAUGGAAUAAUGGAAUAGGACCUCGGUUCUAUUUUGUUGGUUUUCGGAACCUGAGGUAAUGAUUAAUAGGGACAGACGGGGGCAUUCGUAUUGCGACGUUAGAGGUGAAAUUCUUGGAUCGUCGCAAGACGAACCUAAGCGAAAGCAUUUGCCAUGAGUGUUUUCAUUAAUCAAGAACGAAAGUUAGAGGUUCGAAGGCGAUCAGAUACCGCCCUAGUUCUAACCAUAAACGAUGCCAGCUAGCGAUCCGCCGAAGUUCCUCCGAUGACUCGGCGGGCAGCUUCCGGGAAACCAAAGCUUUUGGGUUCCGGGGGAAGUAUGGUUGCAAAGCUGAAACUUAAAGGAAUUGACGGAAGGGCACCACCAGGAGUGGAGCCUGCGGCUUAAUUUGACUCAACACGGGAAACCUCACCAGGCCCGGACACCGGAAGGAUUGACAGAUUGAUAGCUUCUUUCU